GAAGAUAUUCAGCCAGUAAGAUGGCUGGAACAUGUGGUGAGAGAGACCUUUGCUCUGAAUUCACUUAGCUUGUUAAGUUAGGUGUUUGUGUUUUGCCUUUUUAUGUCCUUGUAACCACUUCUGACUUAUAUGCCUCAUUACUUGUAGUCACUUAUUAACUACAGAAAGAAUAGAUUUUAAAUUUGUUUUGUUGUUUUAUCUAAAUCAGUGGGUUUGGACUGAAGCAGUUGGGGAAACUCCAUUUGGGAUAAGAUUUAUGCAUAUCAUUUUCUAUUAAUAAAAUGACGGACUUUAUAUGAGCUUGUGUUGUCCAGGAGAAGGCUGGGUAGUACAAGACACAUUUAUGAGGGAGAGUUUGGGACUGGGAAUUUGCUGGUGUUGCCCUGCAGUGUAGUUCGAGUGGCUGGCUAUAGUGCUCCGACAAUAUAGCUGGGAGUGAUUUACUUGCUGGGGGCUCUGAGAGGUGACAAGGAGUGGUUGCUCUCACAGCGAAGCUGUGUAAAAGGCAUCCCAGGUUGGAGAAUUGAGGGGACACAGCUGUUCAUCAGUCCAGAUUGCACCCUAGGGAAUGUCACAGUCACCUCCGUAGGAGAUUUUCACUUUGUUAGCUUCAUUGCACAAGACAGUGGCGUCGAACUGGGUUUUAGCAGAUCUCACUGGUCGUCUUCUCCGCGGUUACACAGCAGUGUUGCUACCUCAAACACAUCACAACUGCAGACACACUGAUGUUCUUUUUGAGAACAACAGGCGAUUCACAGCACCUUCCAGUUUGAUAGGGCUUGGCUUCCUUGUUCAUGCUACUGGAGUCGGAGAAACAAUUUGACCAUCACGACCCCUUCAGGUACAUGUUUUUCCAAUAUAUAAAUGGACACCUUAUAUUGACACCAUUAGUCCAGGGUAUAAAUUUAAUGCUGUCCCAUAUUUUGGUUAUUAGUCUUCCCCAAAUUGAGAAUACUGCCAUUUGGGGAUGAGAUCAUACUGCUUCAAAGAUGACACCAGUGCAUCAAAAGGCGUUCUUAGAGCCGACUGCUCCAGACCACAGUUACUGGUAUUAGAGUUCACACCAUCUGGAGUUUUUACAUAUCCACUUUCUGGAUUUCACAGCUGAGCUCUCCACGUGUCACGGUGCUGUUACAGUCUACUGGGAACAUCUUCAGAGGAGGAGGGGCUAUGGAAGAGAAGGAUGGUUUUAUGGCUAAAGUACAGAGUGCUUCUGACACAGACUUCCUGUGUGACCUGGGGAAAAUCACUUCAUCUCUCUUUGUCUCAGUUCCUCACGUGUAAAAAGCAUUGCGUUGGGGGAAAUAAAACUUAUUCCCACUUUGCGGUGGUAUUGUGAAAAUUAAGUCAUUUUUGCAAAAUUAUCUGGGGAGCCUCAGACAGAAGGUGCUAUGUAAAUGCAAACUAUUAUUAUUAUAUUUAUUAUUCAGAUCUUGUUCUUGAUUUGAUGGAAAGUGUUGAUACUGGCUAUAUUUGUCUGGAAGAAUUAUUGUGAAACUGCAAGCCAGGCUUCUGUUUUAUUAAAGGAUAUUAUUUUUUUAAAGUGAAAUUAUUUAUAUAUGAUUGAUAUAGCAGGAAAACAUCUGAAGUUCCCCUCAAACUAUUUGUUUUCUCAUCCUCUUGCAGUUGCUGUUUCCUUUGAGUAAAUCCCAAAUUAUAUUGAUUUUGGAUUGUACAAAACUUUUCCUCAGAGUCAUCCCUAGUUCUUAACUGGCCUCUUAUCCAUCUUACCCUUUUCCAGCCACAGUAUGCUAAUCUUAUCAAACACCUUGUCAUAAAUAUAAAGGGAAGGGUAAUCGCCUUUCUGUAUACAGUGCUAUAAAAUCCCUCCUGGCCAGAGGCAACAUCCUGUUACCUGUAAAAGGUUAAGAAGCUC